rnacentral:snRNA from 1 species
ACGGAUUUCCUGCAGUUUAUAGUA